UAGUCCACGCCGUAAACGAUGAUUACUCGAUGUCGGCGAUAUACUGUCGGUGUCCAAGCGAAAGUGAUAAGUAAUCCACCUGGGGAGUACGAUCGCAAGGUUGAAACUCAAAGGAAUUGACGGGGGCCCGCACAAGCGGUGGAGCAUGUGGUUUAAUUCGAUGAUACGCGAGGAACCUUACCUGGGCUUAAAUGCAUUCUGACAGAUUGGGAAACCAAUUUUUCUUCGGACAGAUUGCAAGGUGCUGCAUGGUUGUCGUCAGCUCGUGCUGUGAGGUGUCGGGUUAAGUCCCAUAACGAGCGCAACCCCUAUUUCUAGUUGCCAGCGAGUAAUGUCGGGGACUCUAGAGAAACUGCCCGCGCAAGCGGAGAGGAAGGUGGGGAUGACGUCAAAUCAUCACGGCCCUUACGUCCAGGGCUACACACGUGCUACAAUGGUUGGUACAAAGGGCAGCUACCAGGUGACUGGAUGCUAAUCUCUAAAGCCAAUCUCAGUUCGGAUUGG
rnacentral:rRNA from 1 species